rnacentral:misc_RNA from 1 species
AACGCACCUUGCGCUCUCUGGUAUUCCGGAGAGCAUGCCUGUUUGAGUGUCAUGAACUCUUCAACCCACCGGUUCCUUGUUGGAUCGAGUUGGUGUUUGGAUCUUGAGUGUUGCUGGCUUCUUUUUGAAAAUUAAGAGGCGUAGCUCAUUCGUAAUACAUUAGCAUCUCAACUUCGAACUUCGGAUUGACUCAGCGUUAUAGACUAUUCGCUGAGGACACAAGCAAUUGUGGCCGAAUUAGAUAACUAGAAGCUUCUAACCCCCCUACUAGUCAAAACUAUAAGAUUAGACCUCAGAUCAGGCAGGAUUACCCGCUGAACUUAA